rnacentral:rRNA from 1 species
UACGAGAGGCCCAAACGUUAUUCGGAAUUACUGGGCUUAAAGAGUUCGUAGGCGGCAUUGCAAGUAGGGUGUGAAAGCCCUCGGCUCAACCGAGGAAUUGCGCUCUAAACUGCAGUGCUUGAGGAACCUAGAGGUGAGCAGAACAGAUGGUGGAGCGGUGAAAUGCGUUGAUAUCAUCUGGAAUACCGGAGGCGAAGGCGGCUCACUGGGAGUUUUCUGACGCUGAGGAACGAAAGCGUGGGGAGCGAACAGG